CUGUGAAGCUUGUUGUUCUUUUACCUCCGUCUUGAGUGUCGUAGUUUUCGGUUGUGACCAACGUCUUUGUAGCAUUUGAAAUCCACUCAUAAGGUUCUGAGCAUCGGCCUCUAAAGUAUUUUUUAGCGUAUUCCACUCACCAUCUUCUCGAGUUUCAGAUGGUUUAGCAGUCUCUUCACUCGUCUUAGCACUCGUGCUUACUGCUUCAGAUGCUUUAAGUGUAUUUUUUCUAUCAUCCGGUUCCAAGGUGUCCAGAGAAGUAAACCAAAACAGCCAAGCUGCAACAGAACAUGCAAGAGUUGGUCGAGGAUACAAAAUGAUCAACCAAGUAAAAAAAAGAGUAGUUAGGCAAUAAUACCAAGGAGCAGUCCAAAGCAGUACCUUCAGAAUUAAAUCAAAGGCAUCGGAUCCAGUGGACUUUGCCCAUAGCUUGGAGUUGUCUGGUUCGGAGA